rnacentral:ncRNA from 1 species
ACUAAAGCGAUGAAGAGGAAGAGUACAGAUGUAACUGACAACAGAGAGCUGCUGGCUGGUGGGAAGUGGCGGAGGAAGCAUUUGGAACUGACCUUGGAGCAGCUGCCUGAACGGUAUCAAGUAGGAGCAGACGGGACCCUGCCGUUAUUUUAGGGACGGAUAUAAGGUUUCAUCCCGUAUCUGACAGAGUGCAUGGGAAUCCAUGAAUGAGAGUGGUACCGCGCAGGAAGAAUAAAUUCCUCCGUCUCUUGG